GACGAAAUGGGAGGUAAUUGAAACAUGGGGAUGGUUUCCCCCAUGCUAUUCUUGUGAUAGUAAGUUCUCAUGAGAUCUGAUGGUUUAUAAGGGGCUUCCCCCUUUGCUUGGCUCUCAUGUUUCUCUUGCAUGCUGCCAUGUGAAGCAGGACCUCUUUGCUUCCCCUUCUGCCAUAAUUGCUCAUAGGCAGAAAGAACUUGUCUUCUGUCAGCCCUGGGAAGAGGUGCCUUCCGCCAUGAUUGUAAGUUACCUGAGGCCUCCCCAGCCAUGCAGAACUGUAAGUCAAUUAAACUUUUUUUCUUUAUAAAUUACCCAGUCUUGGGCAGUUCUUUAUAGCAGCAUGAGAACGGACUAAUACACCUGCCUUCACAACAGCUCUCUUAUCCACCCCUCUGUAUUCCCAUUGCCCUGACUUGUUUCAGACAUGCAACCUUUCACUCCUGCCUUAGUCACAUGUCUCCUCUCCCCUCCAGCUCCCUGCACAGCCCCCACCCACCCACACAGCAAUCAGAUUUAUAACAGUCUGACAAUCACAUCUCUCUUUUACUUAAACCUUUAAAGGAUUCCCUUUCCCUACAAACUACAUACACUCCUUACCUGAUCUAAUUUUAUUUCCAUCUUCCUCUCCAGUCCUGGUUCUUGCUGUAUGUAAUCUUAGACCCUAUACCCUUGACUUCAGUAAUAAUGAACACCUUACCUUUUCUUGAAUAUGUUCUAGUUCUAUGCUUACAUUAAUCUCUUUGCAAUAUCUUUAUUCCUUAUCACAAACUCAGUCCACUUAUGUAGUUCUCAGUAUCUAUUUUAUUUUACUGCACCUAUAAGGUAGUAAUUGUCUUACCACCACUUUUAAAUCCCUAAUACCCACAACAGUACCUGGCAUACAUUAGUCAUUCAACACAUAGAUGCCAAAUUACUAAAUUCUGUAUUUAAAAGUCCAAACUAGAUGCUUUCUACAUGACACCAAUCCCAGUGGAAAAUAUAUAGUGGCCAUGUUAGGAUACUAGAGAUGUCCAGUCAAGGAAAUAACAAGACACUUCAGCCAGGAGUCAGGACACUCAGGAAAACAGUUGAGAAAUUUUAACUCAGGGACAGAAAUUUAGAAAGGAUUUUACCAGGCAAUAAAACUAAUGAGAAAGCAAAUGAAACUAGAAAGUAAGAUACAUGCAAAAGACAAAGGCCAAAAGAUCACACCAAUCUGGAAGUAUUGCCUGGACAAAGAAGAAUUUGGAACAUACAGGACACAGACCAAGCAUGGAACAGAGCUGGGAACUCUAUGAAGUCAAGAACCAGGAAAUUGAUGGGAGGAGCUGGCCAGAGGCAUCCAAAAGAACAGAAAGCUUAAGGAAAAAAGCUCCUUUUUGGGUGGUGGUGCAAAGCAGUCAACGCCGCCCAAUGCCUUGACUCAAACAUAUUUCACCUUGGCCAGGUGCAGUGGUACAUGCCUGUAAUCCCAGCACUUUGGGAGGCAAAGACUGGAGGAUCACUUGAGGCCAGGAGUUUGAGACUAGCCUAGGCAACAUAGCAAGACCCUUAUCUCUACAAAAAAAUUAAAACUUAGCCAGGAGUGGCAGUAUGUGCCUGUAGUCUCAGCUACACAGUAGGCUGAAGCAGGAGGAUGGUUUGAGCCCAGGAGAUCAAGGUUACAGUGAGCUAUGAUUGUACCACUGCGCUCCAGCUUGGGCAACAGAGCAAGACCCUGUCUCUAAAAAAAAUAAAAAAUAUAAAAGCACUUCACCUUCAUGCAAUCAGGGAGCUAAAUUACCUUCAAUAUGAGCAUCUUCACCUUUGAAAACUCUUCAUGCUUCAAAGACUUGGUUUUUGUAAGUAUAAGGUUAUUCAAUACCAAUUCUAGUGAAUGAGAUGGGUGACCAAAUUCACAGAAACACUUUUGGUCAGAAACAAGGUAUGAUCAUGAAGUAAUAAGAUUGAUUUUCCUCUGUAGCUCUGGCUGUAAAGGGAAUCCCAAAAGAAUAGUUUUUAAAAACAUUUAAACAUCUUAAGGUUUAGAACGGCAUUACUGAGAUGAAUGAACAGCCUCUCCCACCUCCCCCAAGGUGACUUCUUCCAAAUAAGAUAGAGUAUACUUGGAUACACAUUUCAAUGUGUUUGCUUAAAAAUCAAUUGCAUUAGGGGCUUUGCCCAGCAUGCAUACUACAGAGUAUUAGCUCCAUUGACAGGGGGCAAAAAAUAAUAUUUCUGUGGGCAUAGUAGUUUGGGAAAUAAUGAGUUAAGUAAAUUCUCUUUCCUGGCAUUCUUUUCCUGGUCUUUUAUAUGGUGAUGCACCUGUGGCUCUUCCCAUAGUACUAGGAUGCUUAUUUGGUGAUUUGACCAUUUCACAGAGCAUCUCACAGGGCCAACCAUUCCAUGCAACACUCUUUGGUGAAGAGCUUCUAAGGAACAGAGAUGAACCAUAAUCAAAUUCUGAAUUUUUGGUGGAGCUAAGAAAUACCAGCACCUCCACUGCAGAAGGGAUUGUUCUGGAAGCAGGCAUCUCCCCUGGGCUCUGGGGCAGAUGGAACAGAGCACACUGAGAGGAUGAGCCUGGAUUGUAUUUGUUUCCCCAGGCCUGCAACCUAAGGACUGAUAAGGAGCUCAUGGUAGUUUGGUAGGCAGAGGCCUUUGUUAGCAGACCCGCCUGUGAGCAAACGGUAAUUGAAAGGGAUGGCCUUAUGGUGUAGGACCAUUGAAGGGGAUGGCCUCAUGGCACAAGUGACCUAAUAGAUCAGCCUUAUAUACAGGGGAGGUAUCAGAGCACUGGGAAUCAUGUCAAGGGGGAUCCCAUAGAAUAUGGGGAUAAAUGGGCCAUUGUUUUUACUCAGCUAUUGGCAGGUUGUCUAUUAUAUAGUGUAAAACAAUCCAGCUUAUAGGAUGAUCUAAGUUUUCCUUCUCUAAAAUUCAAAUCUAAAUAAUACUUGUUAUAUAAGUGGACCCUGGUUUAAUUUCUACCAUUUAAGCAGGUGAUAACAGAUAGACCCUUGCUCUCACUCUGUCUGCCAGGCUGGAGUGCAGUGGCACAAUCAUGGCUCACGGCAGCCUCAACCUCCCAGGCUCAAGCAAUCCUCCCACCUCAGCCUCCCAAGUAGCUGGGACCACAGGCACACACCACCAUAUCCGGAUAACAUUAUUAUAUUUUUACUGAAUGAGCAGUUUGCCCAGCCCUAAACUCUGGGCCCAAAUGCUUAUAUAAUAGUAACUGUGAAAGAAAAUAUCUGCUUCUCACCUACUGCCGCUGCUGAGAACUGGGCUCACAGGGGCUGGUGUGGCUUGAAUGUGUCCCGCAAAAGUUCAUGUGUUGGAAGUUUAACCUUCAACACAACAGUGUUGGAAGGUGGGGCCUAAUGAGGACAGAGCCCUCAUAAAUGGAUUAAUGUCAUUCAUUAUCAUGGAAAUGGGUUAGUUAUUGAUAGAGUGGGUUGUUUUAAAGCACGUCUGUUUCUUCCAAUUUUUCUAAAAUAUCAAAAUUUUAUAUAUUAGAAAAGCAUGUCCAGCCCCUGGUGUCUCUCUUUUUGGCAUGUGCUCACUUGUUGUCUCACUUUCCACCAUUUGAUGACACUGUCCAAAGGCCUUCGCCAUAUACCAGCCCCUUGAUUUUGGACUUUCCUUCCUCCAGAAACAUGAGCUAAAUAAAUUUCUGUUUCUUAUAAAUUACCCAGACUGUGGUAUUCUGUUAUAGCAACAAACAGACUAAGACAGAGGCUUAACCCCAGCACUCUCAGGGAAGAAUUAUCUUAACCAUCAAAGGUCAACAUAAUUAAGAAAUCUAUAUGGGUCAGUGAGUUACAAGCAAAUUCCAAACAUAUAACUAUGAUAGAUAAAAUACUCAAAAAAUGACAUAAGCAUGGUUCUAUGUUCCUUAUUGAAGAAGAGAUCAGGCAGAGUAGGGGUUUAAAAAGCAUUCCAAUCCAUACAUUACUUGCCACUUAGUGCUAUAAGCUCAAAGGAUAUAUUUUCAUUCGAUACCAGAGGAUGUCAGCUCAAGGUUCUCCUCUGAAUUUUUCUUUUUUUGAGCAUCCCUAAGUCACACUCAAGAGACACCAGACAAGUAUUAGCACAUCAUUUAGACCACGAUAUUCAAGUGCUACUUUUCAAUUAGCAUAAGUCUAUUAGACCAUCCUCACAUUGCUAUAAAGAAAUUGCUAUAAAGAAAUACCUAAGACUGGAUAAUUUAUCAUUAAAAGAGGUUUAAUUGGCUCACAGUUCUGCAGGCUGUACAAGAAGCAUGAUGCUGGCAUCUGCUCAGCUUCUGGGGAGGUCUCAGGAAACUUACAAUCAUGGUGGAAGGCAAAGAGGAAGCAGACCCAUCUUACAUGGCCGGAGCAGGAGGGACAGAGAGCAAGCAGGGAGGUGCUGCAUACUUUUAAACAGCUUAACAACUCACUAUCACAAGAGCAGCACCAAGGGGAUGGUGCUAACCCAUUCAUGAGAACUCAACCCCCAUGAUCCAAUCACUUCCCACCAGGUCUCACCUCCCUCACUGGGAAUUACAAUUCAACAUGAGAUUUGUUGGGGACACAGAUCCAAACCAUAUCAGUAAGUCAGUCUAAGCAGUUGGGAAUCAGGGAGACAGACAAGCAGAAAGAAAGGACACUGUGAAGCCAGAGAAGACCAAAGGGAUACUGUUCUUGUAAAGGCUAUCUUUUAAAUGAGCAAAGGCACCAGCAGAGAUUCUAAAAAUCAUUGUAGCUACCGAUGUUCAUUAACGGCAAAUUAUUGUUUCUGGGACUCUGCUAAUAGAUCACUAAGGCAGUAGCCCUCACUUAGAGAUUACGGUUUUGCUCUGGCCUCAACCUUCUGACCUCAGGUGAUCCACCCACCUUGGCCUCCCAAAGUGCUAGGAUUAUAGGCAUGAGCCACAGUGCCUGGCCUACCAUUUUGCUCUGAAUGAAGCAACAACCUCAUCAGAUGGCCCUCCACCUACCCUGUUUGAGCGAUGUGAUUCUUGCCUGUCUGGAGUGGUGAUGGUUGGGCCUGCCCCAAAGACAAGGGACCAGUCAGCCUCAUGGGCUCUCUCACCACCUUAGACUGCUUCCAUUGCUAUGACCAUCCAUCUCUACCAAAACAUGUGCUCUCUGUGUUAUUUAAAAUUAAUUUUUCAAAGCUUUUCAUUGAUUUUUCAAAGUGAAACACAAAGAAUAAGCAGUAAACCCAUCGUUUAUUAUUGGCAAAGCAUAUUUAAACUGUCAUAUCCAAUUUCGGUGAAAGCUGCACUUUAGUGGUGUUUGGUAUGAGUGCAAACAAAAUACAAUGACAUUUUAGAGCGGAGGGAACAUCCUCAUUUUACAGAUGAGAAAGCCACUAUCCACAGGGUAAAGGAGCUCAGGCAAGGAGUGUGGUACAGAACUAGAAAUGAAACUUUGGUUUAUGCUCCACUUACCCACAAGCCUCUGACACCAUUACAGGCUGGCUCCACCUGUUCUCAGGUUAGGCCCACCACCUGCUAGUGGAGAUGUUGCUCAGCCUCUUAAGCAACUCCACGUACCCUGAAGCGCAUGCUGAGAGCCACAGACUAGGGUCGCUCUCUCUCUCUCCAUUUCACUUAGUCAUGUUUCCUUAAGACUAUAGAUGAGCCUCUGAGCUGAGAGUUUCAAGAAGGGGCAUCCUUGAUCUCAGCCCUCACACCUCAUCUGGCCUCACCAGAUUUUUCACAACUUUGUGAUUUAGCAGUAGCAUCAUGUAUUAUUAUUUUAUUAUAUUUUCUCUUGACUCUGAAACUCAAUGAAUAUGAAUACUCCUCCUAUUAGGGCUCAUAUUCCAUAAUGGCAGUAUUUCUGCAGGCUGCCUCAAGUAACACUCCUCCCAGACUGACCCUAUUUCACUUUGUCUGCCUGAUUGUCCUGGUGUAACAGUUGGCAUUGGCACUUGCCACCAUCUAAAUGUUUGUGUCCUCCCAAAAUUCUCAGAGCCCUCAUGAAUGGGAUUAAUGUGCUUAUAAAAGAGACCCAAGAGAGCUCUCCCUUUCUACCCCCUUUUUUUUUUGUGAGUCAGAGUCUCACUCUGUUAUCCAGGCUGAAGAGCAGUGGUGCAAUCUCAGCUCACUGCAACCUCCACCUCCCAAGUUCAAGUGAUUCUCAUGCCUCAGUCUCCUGAGUAGCUGGGAUUACAGGUGUGCACCACAACGCCCAACUAACUUUUAUAUUUUUAAUAGAGAUGGGGUUUCUACUAAUCUAUAGCACCAUGUUAUCCAGGCUGCUCUGGAACUCCUGGCCUAAAGCAAUCCACCCACCUUGGCCUCUCAAAGUUCUGGGAUUACAGGCAGGAGCCACUGUGCCUGGCCUCCCUUGCCCUUUCUACCAUGUGAAGACACAGCAAAAAGACAAUGGUUCAUGAACCAGAAAGCAGGCCCUUACCAGACACAGCAUCUUCUGGAUUCUUGAUCUUGGACUUCCCAGACUCUGGGACCAUGAAAAAUAAAUUUCUGUUGUUUAUAAGCCACCCAAUCUAUAGCAUUUUGUUAUAGUAGACCAAAUGGAGUAAGACAGUACCCUACCCAGAUCAUCUGGGCUGAUAUACCCAUUCCAGCUGCUUGGAGAAUUGGAAAUUGCCCACUUCUCCAGAUAAUUGCCUAUGAUCAGGAGCCACCUCACCCAGGAGGAGAAGGGGAAAGGAGAGGGAGACAGCCCAAAGCCAAUGACUGAUUGAAUGAGCACACAAGGCCAGUUGUUUACCUGAAGGAGAGACAGCAGUGGUGUGUGUUUGAUUUAUUUUCUUGACCCUUUCUUCUCCCAUGGACCAUGCCAAGACUAGACUUUCCCUGAGACCACACCCUCACUCAGUUCCUUCCCCUUCCUCUCCUGCUCUCCUCACUCUCUUACAGGUUUUCCUGAAGGUUCUCCCUCACUUGCAGCCAAAUCUUGCAUUUUGCAUCUAGAGAACUCUACAUAAGAUAUCUGGCCUUGGAGGUUAGCUGCGGCCACUCAUUGAAGACACUAGCUGCUGUCAGGGUCAACACCUCGACCUACAGAGCCUUGGAGGGAUUUUAAUUCAAAUUCAAAUUCUGGGAUUUAUUAGCUGCUUGAAAUUGGUCACAUUAUUUAACCUUUGUAAGCUUCGAUUUCUUCAUAUCUAAAAUUAGAUAUUAGUAGAAAAUUAGGCCAGGUGAAGGGGCUCAUGCCUGUAAUCCCAGCACUUUGGGAGGUCAAGGUGGGCAGAUAACCUGAGGUCAGGAGUUCAAGACCAGCCUGGACAAACUCUGUCUCUACUAAAAAUACAAAAAUUAACCAAGUGUGGUGGCAUGCACCUGUAAUCCCAGCUACUUGGCAGGCUGAGGCAGGAGAAUCACUUGAACCCAGGAGGCAGAGGUUGCAGUGAGCCAAGAUUGCACCAUUACACUCCAGCCUGGUGACAGAGCGAGACCCCAUCUCAAAAAAAAAAAAGAAAGAAAGAAAGAAAGAAAGAAAAAAGAAAAGAAAAUUAUUGUGAGAAUUAAAAGUUGUAAUGCUGCUAAAAGUUUCUAGGCUGGUGCUAAACACAUUUCCUCUGAUAUGUCAACGUUAGUAAUAGUAGUAGCUAAUGUUCCUUGGGCAUCUACUAUGUUCCAAGAUCUGCAUUAAGCAUGUUACAUUCGUUAUUGGAUUUAAUCCUCACAUCAGCCCCUUGAGGUAGGUUCUACUAUUACUCCCACUUUAAAGUCAAAGAGACUGAGACUAUAACUUGACUAAAGUCUCAUAUUUAGUAAGUGGUAGAGCUCAGAUGUGAAGCCAGGCAGUUGGUGCUGCAUUUUGUGCUCAGUAGCAUUACAUCUGCUUUCUCAGAGCCACAUCUUCCCUCUUACUUUCAUUCUAAGCCCCUAAACUCUUGCUUCCCUUAAGAUGCCCACUUAUUUGUAGCACUUGACAAUUAAACGCCCACAUGCUCUUGGUCUCUAUCUCCCAACAGAACUUACCCCUGGGUUCUAACCCCUAUGUCCCAUUCUGCAUUAGUUGACCCUAAUGAUCCCAAGCUUGCACAGGUAUCACAUGACUGAAGACAAUGAUUGUAUGUGCACAGAUAACCUUUGUGUUUUAAACUUGUCCUUCAAUGACAUCUCCCCAAGAAGUGCAUAUACUGUCAUAAUUUCAGGCAUUUUGGUGGGUCAGUAGAAAAAAUACAUAUUUGUUGCCAGGGUGUUUAUUCCCAAUAUUUCACAAAUCCUUUCACAUUGGUGAUUACCACUUUCUCUCUGCAAAACAUUCCUAACCAAACCUCUGUCUCAGAGGGAUUACACACCUGAACACUGGAGGAUCAAUUUUCCAUUAGCUCAGCUGGACAUCUCUCUUUCAGUGAUCCCUGCCAUCAUAAACAUAUGUAUUCCUCUCUUUUAAGGCAGAAAACAUGUUUUUAUUUCUGAAAAGCACCAGGGUCAGUUUUAGCAUCUUCCUUACAAAUAGGGGAAAAGAGAGAGAAAGAAAAAUGGAAAACAAAAAUGAGCUAAUAUCCUCUCUUUUCUAAUAUGUCGCAUUUUAUUUUAGUUCACUUGUGCAAGUAUCUAGAUUAUGCUUAAACAGCAAAGCUUUCUUCUUUUGCAGCCCCUUGCAGACAUUUGCAUUAGGUAGAGAAAAGAAAGGUUAAGAAAAAGUUCCUCUGAACAAAUGAGCCUUUAGAUGGGAACUUUCAUUAGGCAUACAGUUCGUUGAAUCUAAUCAGAGAGAUUCCAAGGAGGGUCACACUUGACCUCAGCCCUCUUCCGCUGGGGUAGAUAGUAGGUGUUCAGCUUGGCCCUCGAUUUCUGAAUGUCAAUUAGAGAGGAAAUGUCCAUAGGACAUGCUCACAUGGAUUAUGCAUAAUGAAAUUGGGACUUUAAAUCUGUUUUUUUUUCUUUCUUAUCCCCACAGGGAACCCAGCAAGUUCCUUAAUAAUCAGAAAAUAUGCUUCGCAAUUCAAAAAAGUACUACAGGUUCACAUUUCUGAUAUAAUGGCUAAAAAUCACAGCAAAUAAGCCAGAAAACAAGGCUUACAAAGUGAAACAAAAGAAAUCAGAUAACAAAAGUUAAUCACCUUAGAUCGCUAACUAAAAAAGAAAAAGCACAGUAGCCUUACACAACAGUAUAUAUAGUUCAUGUUGGUUAAAAAAAUACACAUAUAUAUACACAUGCAUUUUUUAAAAGAUCUAGAAAAAUAUUCAAUAAAGUGUUGCCAGUGAUUAUCUCUGAGUGGCAGGAAACUAUUUGUUAUGGUUUGAACUAUGUCUCCCAAAAAGAUAUGUUGAAAUUCUAAUCCCUAGUACCUCGGAAUGUCACCUUAUUGAAAACAGGUUCAAUGCACAUGUGAUUAGCUAAGAUGAGGUCACACUGGAAUCGUCCCUUAAGCCAAGAUGAAUGCUAUCCUUAUAAGAAGAGGAGGAAGUCAUUCAGGGGAAGGGACCAUAUGAUGGCAGACACACAAGGAGAGGGCCACGUGCUGACAGGCAGGGAUUGGGGUGAUGCAGCUGCCAGCCAAGGAACUCCAAGUCUUGUUGGCCCCAGGAGAAUCUAGAAAGAGGCAAGGAAGGAUUCUCCCUUGCAUGUUCCAGAGAGCUACCCUGUCGAGGCCUCAGUGUGGGAUUCCUGGCCUCCAGGCUGUGAGAAAAGAGAUGUCUGUGGUUUUAAGCCACCCAGUUUGUAGCACUUUGUUAUGGAAAUCCUGAUAAAAGAAUACAAUCAUUAUUUUCAAAAUUUUGCUUGUCUGUAAGUUUCUACUGUCAACGCACAUAUACUAAUUUUGCGUAUAUGCUAAUGCAUAUAUAGUAAUUUUGUAAUUUUGAAAAGGUCAUUAGAAUAAAAAAGAAAGAAGAGAGGGAAAGAAGGAAAGAAAAAAGAAUGAAGAAAGGAAGAAAAGAUGGUGAGAAUAAAUUCUCUUAUUGUUAAGUGAACCACUUUAGAUGAUCCCACAGG
rnacentral:lncRNA from 10 species